CUUCUUUUUAAUCUCCUUGUUCUUUCUGUUUUUGUAAUGUAACAUUUCUUAUCUCUAAAUGGAGUAGUUCCUUCCUCUUUUUCUACUUUCCUUUUAAAAGAAAAAAAAUUUCUCAUCAGUUCUGGGACAGGAAAAGAUAAAACUUGCAGGGAAAUGGUAAAACAUAAAAUUUUGUGUCAUUCUUCUGUUUUUCAGGACAAAAAAUAUUGCCUUGAGAAGUCACUCGCUGUGCCAUUGGUUGGCCCAUGACUCAGCAGAGCCGAAGAAACGAUCUACUUAUGAAAUAUGGAAGUAACCUGGAGCUAGAUGGAUAUACCCAAAGAGUAAAGGAAUUUGCAUUUGAGUUGCUGCGUGACAUUCAGGACAGAAGCAGACAAGGUGAAGGCAGAGACAAUCUGCCGUUGGUAAAACAGUUGACAUCAGAAAUUCCCUGCUGUUGGCAGCAAGAAGAGUUCUCCAGCUAAGAUCUUUCCCCAAGAGCAUAUUUUACAAUGAAACAAAGGAUGAGACCCCAGAGUACAGAAUGAAUCUACGUGUGUACUGGGAACUGGGAGAUGAGGGCAAACGUGAGUGCAAAGAGAGAAAGAAGAUGGAGGCCCCAUGAUUCUGCUUCCGUGGCAACAGCCAAAGCCAUAUUCUGCCACUUCUACCGUAUCUCCUCUAUUCUCUAGAUGGCGGCUGCUCAGCCAAAGGAAAGAAUUCGAUCUGAGGUUGGAGGAAGAGGAAUGGUAAGUUUUCUUUGGAGCCUGAAUUUGAAGAAAAGUUGAAGCAUGCGAGAAUAAAUGAAGGUUGGGGGCGGUAUUGGUGUAAAAG
rnacentral:lncRNA from 1 species